rnacentral:rRNA from 1 species
AGCGAACGCUGGCGGCAGGCCUAACACAUGCAAGUCGAACGAAGUCUUCGGACUUAGUGGCGGACGGGUGAGUAACACGUGGGAACGUGCCUUUAGGUUCGGAAUAACUCAGGGAAACUUGUGCUAAUACCGAAUGUGCCCUUCGGGGGAAAGAUUUAUCGCCUUUAGAGCGGCCCGCGUCUGAUUAGCUAGUUGGUGAGGUAAAGGCUCACCAAGGCGACGAUCAGUAGCUGGUCUGAGAGGAUGAUCAGCCACAUUGGGACUGAGGCACGGCCCAAACUCCUACGGGAGGCAGCAGUGGGGAAUCUUGCGCAAUGGGCGAAAGCCUGACGCAGCCAUGCCGCGUGAAUGAUGAAGGUCUUAGGAUUGUAAAAUUCUUUCACCGGGGACGAUAAUGACGGUACCCGGAGAAGAAGCCCCGGCUAACUUCGUGCCAGCCGCCGCUGUAAAAC